GGGAUGUGCAUGAUUAAUCAAUGAUCGGUAAUUGAUCAUUAAGAAUUUUGUCGAUCACAUUAAUUUGUUAUCGAUUAAACUAAUGCGGGUUGCGUUGUGUAGUGUGACUGCAGCACUGAUAUGAUU